CAAUAGCGUAUAUUUAAGUUGUUGCAGUUAAAAAGCUCGUAGUUGGAUUUCGGGUGGGACGCAGCGGUCUCGCAUUGCGUUUGUACUGCUGCAGCCCUCCUUCUUGCCGGGGGCGGCCUCUCGGACUUCACUGUCUGGGGGUCAGAAUCGGCGAUGUUACUUUGAGUAAAUUAGAGUGUUCAAAGCAAGCUUACGCUCUGAAUAUAUUAGCAUGGAAUAACACGAUAGGACUCUGGCUUAUCUUGUUGGUCUGUGAGACCAGAGUAAUGAUUAAGAGGGACAGUCGGGGACAUUCGUAUUUCAUUGUCAGAGGUGAAAUUCUUGGAUUUAUGAAAGACGAACUUCUGCGAAAGCAUUUGUCAAGGAUGUUUUCAUUA
rnacentral:rRNA from 1 species